rnacentral:lncRNA from 1 species
AGGAUGUGUGUCGGGACCUCGUUAAUAUAAUGAUGAUACGAAUGGCCGCUGAUGUCAGGAUCAGAGAGAUCCAAACCGGAAUCACAAUUCACAAGAACAAAGGGGAAAUCGAGCCAAGAACAGAUGGGAAAAGAGAACGAAAAUAGCACUGCAGCAGCGACUUAACUGAUAAACUGGGAAGAUUCGGAUACAUGAGGUUGCCAUAACGGCGUUCUAGAGCUCCUGCUAAUGCUAGAGAU